UCCCGGGGGCAGGACACUCCCUCAACUGGAAAGGCCAGUUCCGCUCAAGCUAAAGGAGCAGCUAGGAAGUGACUUCACAAAAAUCUUCCUCUGCUCUAGGGUAAUUUGUGCCUUUCAUGAUUUAACUCAGUCUACCACAUCUUGACCUAGUUGAAAACUGGGUCAGACCAUUUUAUAAACGGAAGCCUAAAAACCACCCACCUUUAAACAAAUUCCUAUUUUGCACUAUUUUCCAUAUUCAGUUUCUUUUCUAAGUUUUUGGAGAUGCUCACAAAAACUGCUUGAGCCCGACGAAGAGCCCGGACUCUGAAUCCACAGAGAAUUGGAAAGGAACAGGAAAUUCACCAGACAGAGAGAGGAUGAGGGUUGAUUCAGUCGCCUGGGUUCGUGCUGUGGAGUCAUGAGGCCGGUGUAGAGGCUUGUGAUACCCUGGCGAUUAGCACGAGUCCAGCGGGACCCUUGUGAAGGGCAGACACAGGAGAAAAAGAGACCUCUGGAGCAUCCCUAGUGGGAAAGAGAAUUGGCGCACGAAGACAGCUGAGACUGAGAUGAAGACAAAGGUUCUUAUCCUGUUUGAACAAGUUUCCAGAGCUUUCUACCCUCAGAAGGGGAAGGAGACUGUCUUUUAGCGUGAGGCAUGCAAAGUGUAACCUGCCCUUCCAGGGUGGGCUCUUCCAAUUACCACGGGGCUGCCCAAAGAAAAUCAUCGGAAUUGAAGAUACAGCAUCGCACUGGUAGGCUGUAGAAUGAGGGAAGCAGCAGCCCUUCCCUUGUGGCGUUCAGACCACAAGCAGAGAAGGAGCCAUACCUGGAAAAGGAGAAGAGGGUGUGCAGGGUUUCGAGGUACCUUGAAGGGCACAUAGAGCUGGCUUCCCAUGGGCUGUCCUGUAGAAGAUUUAUUAGACUUGCUGAGUCUGGUCUCCAGGGCUGGACUGUUGGUGGACACUGAAGAUUUAUCCUGUUAGAACAAAGCUAUCUCUAACUGCCUUGAGAAGUGCAUUCUUUACUCCUGGAAAGAACCAAGGUACCAACACUUCGAGGACAAUAGCAUCAGUGGGACAGCCAGCCCUGAAAGCUAACUUCACUUCGUUGUUUCAAAAAGUGGUGGUUUCCACUGUGAAGAAAUGUGGUUUAAAUUUUUUAUUGUUUUCACUGCUGGAGGUUAACGUGGUGAGUGAAUUUUGAGAACAAGCAUUUCCAACAGUUCUGCUCUAACAUGAAAGUGGAGACCAUGUAACAACAUAUUUUAGGAACUCUAACUUGGAAGGUGCUAAAAAAAAAAAAAAAAGAAAAGAAAA